rnacentral:rRNA from 1 species
UACGGGGGGGGCAAGCGUUGUUCGGAUUUACUGGGUUUAAAGGGUGCGUAGGUGGUUAGGAAAGUCAGUGGUGAAAUCUUCGGGCUUAACCCGGAAACUGCCAUUGAUACUUUUUAUCUUGAAUACUUUGGAGGUAAGCGGAAUAUGUCAUGUAGCGGUGAAAUGCUUAGAUAUGACAUAGAACACCAAUUGCGAAGGCAGCUUACUACACAGUUAUUGACACUGAGGCACGAAAGCGUGGGGAUCAAACAGG